CUUACCAAAAUCAAUCCACUCACGACAGAAACAACAAUCUAUCCAUACAGUCACUUUCCAAGACGUCAGAACCAUUGCAACCGUACACUGUAAAAUAAAGUGAAAGAAAGCUCAACGCACUCCUCGUUCGUAUUAAGGGGACAAAGAGUCUCAUGCUUUCGCGUCUUUUGGAUUACCAACAAAGAGAGCUAAGUGAUGAACAAAGGGGUGUCCAUUCUGGUAAUGAUAAAGUGGUGUGAGUGAAGGAAAGGUAAUGUAAAAGUAAAGCAGCAGAGUCACAGAUUAUGUACACAUUGGGCGUACAUACAUGCAUGAGGCACUUUUUGAGAGAGCUAAAUUCUAAGGCCCAUUACGAAACACGUCAAGUCCAAAUGAAAUCACAGCCUUCAUUCACCAUUUACACAUCAACCGAGUCAAACGACUAGAGCAGCAGCAGCAGCAGCGGACCAUUGCGUACCACUUCUAACGCUACCACCACUCAGGUUACUGCAAUGACCACCACCGCUACACUACUACAUUGAACAUUCUCAAUUCGACCAAGCCACCUGUUCCAAAUUACCCGAAUUUCGGGGACACGUCUGGUCAAUUCCCGAAUUUAAUGUGUGCAUCCCCUCUGUCUUAUCCGGAGCUACGAGAAAUGGACCAGGUGCAGUUGACACGUAGUAGAACGAUGGCACACAUGACGCAUCAAGUCUUCCAAUGCCAUGUUGACCCUGGGUGAGCAAAUGCCAACAACUGUGAAAUUGAAAAAUACUCAUCUGUUCAUCUAAAUUGGAAACUGGAUCUUCCAAACUUGUGCAUUUUUGGAACCUCAACCGUAUGGUGGGAACUCUGGUGAAAGCAGACUUUCUAGUUGCUGAAAUUUUAUAUUGCAACACCAGACAGCAGACAGACAAGAGACAUACAUGGGCCGACAAAAAUCAAGAGAGCAACUUGAACCGUUGGCAAAGUAAAUUCCUAAAGUGCAAGCGAAAUUUCACCAAACUCCGGAAAGUUCAGCCUGUUUACAGCGCAUUUAGCUAAACUUGUGAAAAGAAAUCGAAAAAAUCUGACCCGAAAUCCUCUGAAUGCCCAAAUAAAUCAGCCAGGAAUAGCCCAAGAACAUGAAAACCUCUUGAGCCAUUUCCCGUCCCAUUAGUUGUCGGAAAGGGAAAUGUACCUACGGUUGGACGGAUACCUUAAUUCAGGCUCCUUUCUCAGACUGCGCAUUAAUUGCGUUGGGGUUACUCAGAAGUACUCCCCCCUUCUUCUAUUUCAAACCCAAAUUCAUGCUGACAAUUGUAUUGAUACCACGAACAUUCAGGAUAAUACGAAGCUCACAACGAAAUGCCUAACAACCCACAUCAAGUUGAGGAACGAAACUAUAAAGAAGACCGAUUGCGAUUAAACAGUUAAUACAUAGAUAAAACUGCACGUACCAAUUUCAAUAAAUUACAAUUAUCGUCAUCAUCAGUAUCGUCAUACAUAUGUAGAUACGAGACAUAAUACAAAUAGAUAGACUGAAACUAUUGGAUUUUACUUGGAUUCUUAUACAUACUUGUAACAGUAAUACUAGUAAAAAUAUAUUAAUAUUUAGUGCUAGUCAUAUUAUAAGAAUUAGUGAGAUAAUCAAUUAAUUCAAGCUGCAAGAAAAAAUAAGGUACUCAAAAUGCGACUAUUGUAUAUAUCUACUAAUUGUUUUGGAUUAAUAUUUAUUGGAGUUUGAUGCAAAUUAAUAACUUUUCUUCCUACGAAGACCAAGGUGGCACGCUGAGGUGGAGCAGGUCUUGCGUUUGUAGUGAACGAGGUAAGAUGAUGGUAGUUAAGUAGUGGUCCAAAAAAGCAGGGACUCGCUGUUCCUUCGCUCUCAUAAAUUAUAAUAACACGGGCUCGACGUCGUCUUUCCACUUCACCUUGGCUUUUACUCGAAAAUGGUUUCAUAAAAUAUUCAGAACGUGGCGACCACAAUUUAUCACAAUAAAAAUUGAUCUUAUUCCAGUCUUCUGUCGCCACGCUGAAUAGAGUCGAGCAAUGACUUUUUACAUUUAUUUGACAAAUAGCACCUCAUUAACACGUUUAUGCAUGUAUUUGCAAUGCAUUGGUACAUCUUCAUAACAGUCUCCCUUCCGCUAAGGCUGCUUUCACUCUCACAUCCUAUAACGAGUUACUUUCACCAAUGCUCCAUACACGAUAGCAGUUUUUUCUAGUUACUAUCACAGUUAGUGUCAUAAUAAAUAUGUACCAUUACGAUAAGAAUCAGACUUAGAUUAAUUGGUUAUCGUUAAAAAACUAAUUAGUUAAUUAAUUAAUUAAUACAUGAGCAAUUAAUUAGUUGUAAAACUAUGUAGUAACAAAGAUUAGAAUUAUUAAAAGUAAUAUUUUAGUUGAUCAAGUCAUAAAAGUAAAUGAAAUAAAAACGACAAUCUCAUCUCA